GUUGAAGGACGACAGCAGUGGUCAAGAGCACUGUCUGUGGAGCAAGACAGUCCGGGGCUCAGACUCCAGCUGCUAUUCGAGCUGUGUGACCUUGGACAAGGUACUUAUCUUCUCUUGGUCUGUGAAAUGGAGAAAAAUAGUCCUGCCCUGUCUGUGUGUUGUGAGGAGUCCGUGAAUUCAUGCAUGCAAAAUACCUACGUGGCACAUGGACAAUCUUGACUGUCGUGCUGCCUGCCCCCUUCGGUCGGAAGUGGCGAGGGAUGAAGCCCAGAGGAGAGCUGAGGCCAGUGGGGGCUGGGGUGCCCAGGCCUCUCUUUCUCCCACUGUCCCCUGAACACGGAUCCUGGGAACGUCUCUGCAAAUGGCAGGAAGGAUGGGGAUCACUGAUGGGCCAGUACCAGCAGGGGAGCCGCAAGACAGGGGCUGCAGUGAGGCCUGCAGCUAGACACCACCAGGACUUCCCAGUAAAGAGAGGCACAUGUCAGGGAUGGAAAGAUCUGGAUGCGGCCUAAGACGUUCUCAGACAAUGGAUCUUUGAAAACUCUCAGAACGGUGGUUUGGAAAUCCUGCCUCCACCAAGCCCUUCUCAGGCCCAUCAGAGCCAGGGCCUCGGGGCUGGAGUGAACAAAGCCCCUUCCUGCUCAGAUAGUGUCUGAGUCAGAGACUGGCCAGACUGACCCCACAAGAGCACCCAGGAAACUAUCUCAGGCCCCAGAAGAGGCCCAGGUACAUAGGAGGCUCCCAGGAAAUGCCUGUCAAGUGGAAUAGCGGCAAGUUGGAAUCGAGGAGCCCAACCCUUUAAUGGGACUUGCUCACGUCAUCCAGUCCCCAGCUUCUGGACCAGCCUGGAGAGGCAACACUGCAGAGGGAAGGGCCUUCUGGGAAUCAGAAGCCAGAUGA